CAUCCAGUGAAGCUCAGUCAGUAGAGCAGGAGACUCUUAAUCUCAUGGUCAUGGGUUCAAGACCCAGGUUGGAUGA